rnacentral:lncRNA from 1 species
AGCAAAUCAAAAGAAGUAUUUGAAUAAGCAGUUACUCUACUUGAGAAAGCCUACUUGGUUUGUGAUUAGUAGUUAUUAAGUUUCAUUUUCUCAGAUUCAAGUUCAUUGACUCAGGCUUAGGUUUCAGUCUGCUUAUGUAGGUUACCAAGGCAUUAGAGCCUCCCUGGUCUAACAGCCUUCUUGUUUAAUUACUUUAACAAAAUGCCCACUACUAUUACUUUAUUUCAAUGUCUUCUCUCAUUUCAGCUAACUGGGACAGAUAUUGGCCAGUAUCAACAUAAAUCAGCUUGAGUUCAGAGAAUUCAAGAUUCGGGAAUAAACAUACAGAUUUUUAUUCUACCUUCUCAUCCUUAUUACAAUGUAAACACCAUCUGGAU